GGAAAAAUCGCCUAAUGGUAUGGCAAUAGUUUACUAAACUAUCGAAGUUAUUCAUUGUGGGUUCAAAUCCCUCUUUUUCCA